rnacentral:lncRNA from 1 species
GUGUACCUAAAUUUUUUUCGACCAAGAUUUAUAGACUCUAUGUUUGAAAGAGAUCUUUUUGUCCAUAUCGAUAAACUAAGACUGCUUGAAGGGCAGAUGCUGACAUCUGCAGAGCAGGAAAAGAAGUAUGCGUACUUCGUAAAGACUUGAGUACUGAACGUAGGGUCGAUAUAUCUUCUCCAUUCAAAAGCUCAGGAAGUUUAUAACAAAAGCAAAAAAUCCAUUGACUCUAGAAAAAUGUUAGCAAAUUUUAGAAUGAACAAAAAUACACCAGCAAAGUAGCAUGAGAUCCUUGUUACCAACCUGUAAAUCAAUUGCGUCCUUUUCAAGCCAGCUGGACAAGCUUUCUAGGAUCUCCAAAACAGUUGCCAAAUCAACCACUGCUAAUAUGGCCCAACAAGGAGCUUUAUGCUCAAUAUAUACACGCCAUUGUUGUAAAUUUUUAGGUAAAAUAGAUGCGUCCAAUGAAGAAGAUUCCAUAUAUUGCUCAAGCCUUUCCCCUUCUUUAUCAAUUAUGUUUAGUAAGUAUCGUAAAAACGGGUCAAAGCUUUUUUUGCCGGCCUCGAUUUCCAAUUUGCGAAGAGGAAUGGUUUCUCUUGUUUCAGGCUCACGACGCGCCGCUACAAAUGGAACUAGCUUGCGAGCUUCUUCUCUGAACUUGUCAGUAAAAAGCCCAAUUAUUGUUACAAUGAUUAGAUUAAAGCAUUCAUGUUGCAAAUUUCGAUUUUCACAAAAAUUCAUAUAUAAAUGUUCGUACCUCACAGUUGCUAAAUAAUCUAAACCAUCAAGUGGUAUAUCAUAUUCCAAAGAUUCUGAAGCACUAUUGUUGUCGAUUUGUGGAAAAGCGCUGCGUUGAUUUGUUUCCUCAUCUAAUGAUCCUGAAGUCUGAUAUUGUAAAGGAUUUCUUUUUCUUUUCGAGGGCAUUUUGAAUUAUUAUUGUACAAUUGCAAACUUCUCAUAUAAACCAAAUGGAAAAGAAUUACCGAAUUUUCAUGAAAAUACUCAAGGAAUGUAGGCUGUUUUUUUCCGGCAACUUUUCGUUUGUAGUUAGUUAACAAGGAAUGUUUCGUAAAUCGAAGAUUACCCUAGUAUAAUAGAAUGGUAAGGUUAAAGAGGUAUCUGUAGAACUAUCAAUGUGAAGAG